rnacentral:rRNA from 1 species
UGAGGAAUCUUGGACAAUGGGGGCAACCCUGAUCCAGCCAUGCCGCGUGAGUGAUGAAGGCCUUCGGGUUGUAAAGCUCUUUUAGAUGUGAAGAUAAUGACGGUAGCAUCAGAAAAAGCUCCGGCUAACUCCGUGCCAGCAGCCGCGGUAAUACGGAGGGAGCGAGCGUUGUUCGGAAUUACUGGGCGUAAAGCGUAUGUAGGCGGUUUUGUAAGUCAGGUGUGAAAUCCCAGAGCUCAACUUUGGAACU